rnacentral:rRNA from 1 species
UGACUGCUGGUGGUAGAAGCCCGAAAGGGUGACGACCCGGAGCAAUCCGGGAGCCAGUAGAGGUGCUGCAUGGCUGUCGUCAGCUCGUGUCGUGAGAUGUUGGGUUAAGUCCCGCAACGAGCGCAACCCUUACCCUUAGUUGCCAGCGGGUAAUGCCGGGCACUCUAAGGGGACCGCCCCGGAUAACGGAGAGGAAGGCGGGAUGACGUCAAGUCAGCAUGGCCCUUAUGUCCAGGGCUACACACGUGCUACAAUGGGCGAUACAGAGGGAAGCAAGGCCGCAAGGUAGAGCUAAUCCCUAAAGUCGUCCUCAGUUCGGAUUGCAGGCUGCAACUCGCCUGCAUGAAGUCGGAAUCGCUAGUAAUCGCGGAUCAGCUACGCCGCGGUGAAUACGUUCCCGGGCCUU